UAACAACUCUGACUCUGUGCUAAAAAUGUCACAACUUUAACUCCAACUCCACAGCCCUGCAAUAAAUGCUUAACUAUUCACAAAUAAUGUAAUGGAGAAAGUUCUAUCAAACUUUUUGUCAGAUAAUGUGCUAUUAAUAUGUGUUAAUGUAGUCAUUUUUGAAGUUGAAAAUGUGGUUAUUUGAAUAUUCUAAUCUUGUUUAAAUUUAGAUACCAUAAAAAUCUUUUCCAAAUAAAGUCGCCUUGAAAACAGAUAUAUAAAAACAAUAACAGAUGAGGAAGAUCUUGCUAAAAAUGGUUUUUAAAAAAAAACAAUCAAAAUGAUAGUCCCAAUAUUGGUUUUUUCUAAUUAUAUCUUUUGGAAUGGUUUAUACUUUUACUCUGUUUUUAUAUAUUACAGUUUACUUUUUAUUUUGAAUAAAAGAAUGUUAUUGUUUAGUUGAGGGGUUGAAGCAACUCUUAGAAGACUUCAAAACACAAGGAUAUUACUGGAAGACUUCAAAACAUAAGGAUAUUACUUAGUAUUGCGUGGCUUCUAUCUUCUCAAUUGAUACAUAAAUGAUUUUUUAAAAACAGUUCUGCUUUAUAUGUGUUAUUGUUAUUUAAUACAUGCCAAUAAUCCAAAAAUUAUUUUGCAAAAUGGUUUAUGGAUUGUUGACAUGUUAAUGUGAAAGUUUCAAUCUUCAAUUUUGGAGAAAGAUUCGUCUUAAAUCAAAAGGUUAUAAUAUGAUUGGCUAUUUAGUUCAACAGUUUUCAAUGCUGAUGAUUGAGUUGUAAAAAACUUAUUUAUAUUUAACAAAAUUGUUCGCUCUUGUUAAGAAAUAUGUUAUAAAUUAUUUUUUUGAUGAACUAACUAAAGUAGUUUUACAUAUGCAUUUGUAUUACUUAGCUUAAAUAUUUAAUUAUUUUUAUUACA